rnacentral:lncRNA from 1 species
GUUAUUUAUAAAGAAAAGAGGUUUAAUGGACUCACAGUUUCACAUGGCUGGGUAGGCGUCAGGAAAUUUACAAUCAUGGCAGAAGGCAAAGGGGAAGCAAGGCACAUCUUACAUGGCAGCAGAAGAGAGGGUGAGGGUGGAACUGCCAAACAUUUUAAAACAGAUCUCAUGAAAACUCCCUCACUAUCAUGAGAACAGCAUGGGGGAAACCGCCCCCAUGUUCUAAUCACAUCCCACUAGGUCCCUCCCUCAACAUGUGGGGAUUAUAAUUCCAAUGAGAUGUUGGUGGGGACACACAGCCAAACCAUAUCAAUGUGUCUCUAAAACUUUAAAAGGCAUCAAGGAGAGGGAGAUCAAAUUAAGGGAAGACAUACUUAUAAUAGUGCAGGAUGUCUCUGGUGGCUUGUAGCACGGGGAUGCAUCUAAUCAUUUUCAGUAGAGUCUGAAGAAACAUUUGGUUGCCUCCUCCCACCCAAGUCCUUUGAUAUGGACUUAUGAACUGAGGAAUUAUGAAGCAAUGAAGACUGCUUGGGGUCUUCAUCUAGCCCAACAUCUAGGGGCUAGGUGUCAGGAUGCCAAAGAAAAUUUAUCAGAGAGUAAAGUGUCCCUUACGGAAAUUAUGAAGUAGGUUAAGACAGAUGUUAAGAGGAGGAGGUUGUCAUUCAUUGCACAGCUAGAAAGAUUAGAAGAGACUGGUAGAUACAGCCAAGAGUUGUCUCUGGUAACCAUAAUGAGAGCAGUUUCCGUGAACUGAUGAGACAAUUAGGAGGGUGGCUACAGGGAAUGAAGAGGGAGUUUCCAGGGCAGCAGUGAAAACAUGAGCUCUGGACCUUGUUUAGUCUUGGAUAUUUCACCAUCCUCUCACAAAAAUAAACACUCUGGUACCCAGUAAAUACCUGAUGAAUGAAUCUUUGGGAAAGAAAAUCACUGAAUGCAUAAAGUCCUUUAUUGAAAAUAUUGGGAUAGCACUGCAUUACAUAUAGUCAAUAUCCACAUUAAAAGAAAAAAAACUGCCGACACAUUUCAGACAAUAUACUACA